GCCGGGAUGGCGAAAUCGGUAGACGCGGGAGACUUAAAAUCUUCUGUCCCUCACGGGACGUGCGGGUUCGAGCCCCGCUCCCGGCA
rnacentral:tRNA from 1 species